AUGCAUUGGUUGGCAUGGCCGGAAAUUUUAGCACAUAAGACCAAGGGAGGCUUGGGCUUCAAAGAUUUCCAUCUCUUCAACCAAGCUCUCCUUGCUCGACAGGCGUGGCGCCUGUUAAUUAAGCCUAACAGUCUAUGUGCGCAGGUACUAAAAGCUCGGUACUAUCCAGACGGUCGCCUUGAGGAUACAAUAUUCUCGGGGAAUGCAUCCUCGACCUGGCAGGCCAUACAGUGUAGCCUCGAGCUCUUGAAAAAGGGGAUCAUAUGGCGUGUUGGAGACGGCCAAAACAUCCGGAUAUGGCACGACCGAUGGGUAACGAGGGAACCCUCGCGCCAACCUAUCAUGCAGCAAGGCACCUGCCGGCUGAGGAGAGUGGCGGAGCUUCUCGCGGCGGAUGGGUCCUGGCGUAUGGAUCUUCUCCGCCGAUACUUCCUCCUGGCGAACGUCGAUGCGAUAUCCAGCAUCCGCACCUCGCCGCGCUGCACCAACGACCACUACAAAAAAAAAUACACUUCCGUGAUGAUACGUGUUUGUCAUAGUAGGUCGCGUUUUUUGUCAUGCAUGUACAUCCAUGACGAUUUUAUGACAGAAUCAAGAUAG
rnacentral:rRNA from 1 species